GCCCAAAGCUGAAGGAAAUUUUAAACUAGGCAACUGACAUUUUGGUAAUCUUUUCUUGUACACUUCUAUUUACUAAGCUGAUCUCCUUUAUUUAAUCAUAUUGUUUUAAUACAUUUUUGUUUGUUUUUAACAGAAAAUUAAGAAAUAAGCAUAAAAAAAAUUGUUGAAUUGAAAUCACAUGGCAAAAUUCAGAUCUGGAUAGAUGUUUUUCUUUUGGUAUUUUAGCCUACGUUUUACAGUUACGUUUCCAAUUCAACACAGUUCACUUUCUAAU